rnacentral:rRNA from 1 species
UACGGGGGGGGGCAAGCGUUGUCCGGAUUCACUGGGCGUAAAGGGUGCGUAGGCGGGUCUUUAAGUCAGGGGUGAAAUCCUGGAGCUCAACUCCAGAACUGCCCUUUGAUACUGAAGAUCUUGAGUUCGGGAGAGGUGAGUGGAACUGCGAGUGUAGAGGUGAAAUUCGUAGAUAUUCGCAAGAACACCAGUGGCGAAGGCGGCUCACUGGCCCGAUACUGACGCUGAGGCACGAAAGCGUGGGGAGCAAAGCAGGAUUAAGAAA